ensembl:lncRNA
GCUGCCUUUCAUUGUUAAGUGACCAAGGCUUUGAGAAUGAAUGACUUGCCUGUUUGAGUCUACAUGGCUUGAAAAAAUGAUAGAGAUGGAAUGCACAUCUUUGUCUUUUAAUUUUGACGUUUGACAAAAUGUCAGGGCUCAGUGUUGGGACCAUAGUGAUAGCCAAGACAGAUACAGGAUCCCUGUCCACAUGGAGCGUCAGUCUAUCCCAAAUACAGUGCUCUUUCAGUCAAUCCAUAUUUUCUUCUUUAACUGACGAGAGGGAAUACUUUUUCUAUGAAUUGAUAUGUGGCUUUUAUAAGAUGCUAAAUGUGCUUAUGGCUAAGCCUUGACUAUGGAGCCCUUUAAGUGGUUUCUCUGUCCCCAAAGGUGCCUUCAAUAGCUGCCCAGUAAACUUCCGAUCUCACUGGAUGGGCCUUUUAUUCAUCUCCAUUGUGGAGAGAGGAGUUGGAUGCCUCUCAGCAUCCUUCUCAUGGUCAAUCAGAGGCUUGUUGCAGAAAAAUACUUUUCUCUCCUACUCUGCAGAAUCAAAGGAAUCAGAUGGCCUCAAGGGCUGGGGACAGCACUUAACUGCUGUUCAGCCAGAAUGACAUUCCACCUGUGAUGUCCUAAACAGCUGACAUUAGAAAGAAGAUGUUAGAAGCUGACCCACACUAAGAGUGAAUGAUGAGUAUACCCAAUGAUUACUAUGGAUAAUGCUGCUAUGAACAUUUGUGAACAAGUUUCAAUGGGACACGUGUUUUCAUUUCUCUUGGGUAUAUACGUCAAAGUGGAAUUGCUGGUUCACUUGAUGACUCAACAGUAAACACUUAGAGGAACUGCCAGACCAUUUUCCAAGUUUCCUCAGGCUUCUCUGGUGGCUCAGUGCUAAAGAAUCUGCCUGCCAGUGCAGGAAACAUGGGUUCGCUAUCUGGUGAGGGAAGAUCCUGCAUGCUGUGGAGCAGCUGAGCCCAUGUGCCACAACUAGUGGGUCUGUGCUCCAGAACCCAGGAACUGCGACUACGGAAGCUCACCUCCCACAGCUACUGAAGCGUGUGUGCCCUGAGCCCAUGCUCUGCAACAAGAGAAAAGCCCAUGCAGCAGUGAAGACCCAGCAGAGCCAAAAAUAAAGAAUAAAUAAAUUUUAAAAAGUUAAAAAAAUUUCCUCAUUAAAAGGGAGUCCUCAGGUUGGGGCUAUUCUGGGGAAAGGUGUCACCAUGCACAACAAACUAACUUUAUUAUCAUUUUUUUUUCAAACUAACUUUAAAAAGCAUGUUGAUUAAAAAAAAAUGUGAGUGCACUUGGGAAUUCCUUGAAUUCUGUGC